CUGAUUAUGCAAAUUACUAAAUUCAGAGUUGUCAGUAGAAUGCUCCCUUCGGUUUUCUAGACUGCAGGCUUUGCUCCUUUUACUUCUCUGAGGAUAUCACAUGGAAAGAUGUUCGUGGGACUGUUGAAACCUUUGGCCUCCUGGGUUGUGACCUGAAGUAUGCAGUGUGGUUAUAGCAGUGCCAGAACCCAAGAAGAACAAAUGGGUGAGAGUUGCUCUCUCCAGUGCCAAAUGAAGUUGCUCUGACUACCCAGAUAUUCAGAAUGAAGAGUUGCUGCAUUAAAAUUAUUUUUUACGGUAAAUAGAUGUAACCUGAAAAUAAGACCUCCAUAUCAAAAUCUUGGGCAAAAAGAUAAUCUACAAGCUACAUAAUUCAAAUAACUGAUCAGAGUAGGAGACACUUUGGCUGUAGUUUGCAAAGGACAAUAAAAUCUGUGUAAUCAUAUUGUCUUGUGGGACAGGACAGACAGCAACACAGCCCUCAGAGGUCUCUGGCAUUCUCACAUGAAUUCAGGUUAUUCUGCAGGCCAUUACCCAUCCAGUCCUACUACCAGUCACAAGAUAUGGGACUGAUGUGGAAGCUGCUGUGGAGCAGCCAGAGAUCCUGACACAUCCUUGUCCCAGGAGAUGUCCUACUCUCCCAGCACUAUUUAACAAAAUGUGAGGUGGUUUCUGCGUGUCUUUCUAUCGUAGAAUGAUGGGGGAAUGGUCAGUACUGAGGCACUGCAAUACACUGUCUACAGUAAAGGAUUUUCCCAUCUGCUGGAACAAAGAUCAUGAGGCCCUAGCAAUGCUUAAGAUAACUUGCCAAGUGCAAAUUUCUAAUCAAUAUUUUGGCUUUAAGCAUACUAUGUGGUUACUGUAGGCAUCAACAGACUCAGAAUCCUCGAAGUUGUAACAGGAGAGCAGGAACAAUUGCCUCCUGCCUGAUCUGCGGCGAUGGACGUUCUUUGUGUGUUUGAAUAAUGAAACACAACCCUUAAAACUUUAAACCUAACAAUUAUGGCAGUCCUAGGUUUUUAUGGCCGUUGUUAUUAUCAUUUCUGGUUAGAGACAAGCUCAGCAGAGAGGGAUCUGAGGGUGCAGCUGACAGCUGCUCAGCAUGAGCCAGCAGUGUGCCUGACAGCCAAGGGGUAAACUGCAUUUUGGGGUUCAUUAAACACAGCACGGACAGCUGGUCAAAACAGGUGAUUCUCCUGCUGCAUUUAGUGAUGGUGUGGCCUCACCUUGGAUACUGUGUUUAAUUCUGGGCUCCACAGGAUAAAAAGGGUGUUAAGGUCCUUGAAAGCAUCCAGAGGAGGCACCAAAGCUGUAAACAAGGCUGGAGGGUGUUUUCUCACCUCAUCCUGCGAAGAACCUCACAUUUCCAUUUUACUUGAGGAACUUCUAUUCAUCACUGAUGAUCCAGCUCAAUAUCUGCCUUCAAAUUUUCAGCAAAUUGCAAAUCAGUCCAAGACACCUAGAAGCAUAGAAAAUACCUGGAAAGACCUAAGCAAAGCAAAACAGAGUGCAGGAGACAGAGCUUGCAUGGAGGAAGAAGACUCUGACAUUGCAGGGCUGCCUGCACUCUGGCUUUCGAGAUCACCAACUGCCGAUGAGGAGUCAUUGCUCAAAUGGUC